rnacentral:rRNA from 1 species
CGAACGAAGAGUUUGAUCCUGGCUCAGGAUGAACGCUGACAGAAUGCUUAACACAUGCAAGUCGACUCGAGUCUUCGGACUUGGGUGGCGCACGGGUGAGUAACGCGUAAAGAACUUGCCUCUUAGACCGGGACAACAUCUGGAAACGGAUGCUAAUACCGGAUAUUAUGGUUUUUUCGCAUGGAGGAAUCAUGAAAGCUAGAUGCGCUAAGAGAGAGCUUUGCGUCCCAUUAGCUAGUUGGUGAGGUAACGGCCCACCAAGGCAAUGAUGGGUAGCCGGCCUGAGAGGGUGAACGGCCACAAGGGGACUGAGACACGGCCCUUACUCCUACGGGAGGCAGCAGUGGGGAAUAUUGGACAAUGGACCACAAGUCUGAUCCAGCAAUUCUGUGUGCACGAUGACGUUUUUCGGAAUGUAAAGUGCUUUCAGUCGGGAAGAAGUCAGUGACGGUACCGACAGAAGAAGCGACGGCUAAAUACGUGCCAGCAGCCGCGGUAAUACGUAUGUCGCAAGCGUUAUCCGGAUUUAUUGGGCGUAAAGCGCGUCUAGGCGGCAAGGAAAGUCUGAUGUGAAAAUGCGGAGCUCAACUCCGUAUGGCGUUGGAAACUGCCUUACUAGAGUACUGGAGAGGUAGGCGGAACUACAAGUGUAGAGGUGAAAUUCGUAGAUAUUUGUAGGAAUGCCGAUGGGGAAGCCAGCCUACUGGACAGAUACUGACGCUAAAGCGCGAAAGCGUGGGUAGCAAACAGGAUUAGAUACCCUGGUAGUCCACGCUGUAAACGAUGAUUACUAGGUGUUGGGGGUCAAACCUCAGCGCCCAAGCUAACGCGAUAAGUAAUCCGCCUGGGGAGUACGUACGCAAGUAUGAAACUCAAAGGAAUUGACGGGGACCCGCACAAGCGGUGGAGCAUGUGGUUUAAUUCGACGCAACGCGAGGAACCUUACCAGCGUUUGACAUCCUACGAACGGAGCAGAGAUGCGCCGGUGCCCUUUCGGGGGAACGUAGUGACAGGUGGUGCAUGGCUGUCGUCAGCUCGUGUCGUGAGAUGUUGGGUUAAGUCCCGCAACGAGCGCAACCCCUAUCGUAUGUUACCAUCCUUCAGUUGGGGACUCAUGCGAUACUGCCUGCGACGAGCAGGAGGAAGGUGGGGAUGACGUCAAGUCAUCAUGCCCCUUAUACGCUGGGCUACACACGUGCUACAAUGGGUAGUACAGAGAGC